rnacentral:rRNA from 1 species
AGAGUUUGAUCAUGGCUCAGGAUGAACGCUAGCGGGAGGCCUAAUACAUGCAAGUCGAGCGGUAGAGAUACUUCGGUAUUUUGAGAGCGGCGCACGGGUGAGUAACGCGUACAUGACCUACCUUUAAGACUGGGAUAGCCCCGGGAAACUGGGAUUAAUACCGGAUGUGAUAAUAGAUAUAAGGAUUUAUUAUUAAAGCUGAGGCGCUUAGAGAUGGAUGUGCGUCUGAUUAGCUAGUUGGUAGGGUAACGGCCUACCAAGGCGACGAUCAGUAGGGGGCGUGAGAGCGUGACCCCCCACACGGGUACUGAGACACGGACCCGACUCCUACGGGAGGCAGCAGUAAGGAAUAUUGGUCAAUGGACGAAAGUCUGAACCAGCCAUCCCGCGUGCAGGAUGACGGCCCUAUGGGUUGUAAACUGCUUUUAGCAGAGAAGAAAAGCAUUCAUUCAUGAGUGUCUGACGGUAUCUGCAGAAUAAGCACCGGCUAACUCCGUGCCAGCAGCCGCGGUAAUACGGAGGGUGCGAGCGUUAUCCGGAAUUACUGGGUUUAAAGGGUGCGUAGGCGGGAUAUUAAGUCAGUGGUGAAAUCUUGUCGCUUAACGAUAAAAUUGCCAUUGAUACUGGUAUUCUUGAAUUGGGUUGAGGUUAGCGGAAUGUGACAUGUAGCGGUGAAAUGCAUAGAUAUGUCAUGGAACACCAAUUGCGAAGGCAGCUAACUGGGCCUUGAUUGACGCUGAGGCACGAAAGCGUGGGUAGCGAACAGGAUUAGAUACCCUGGUAGUCCACGCCCUAAACGAUGCUAACUCGAUGUUUGGGCUAUACGCUUGAGCAUCCAAGGGAAACCGAUAAGUAGCCCCCUGG